CCGGCACGGGUGAGUAACACGUAUGCAAUCCACCUGUAACAGGGGAUAACCCGGAGAAAUCCGGACUAAUACCCCAUAAUAUGGGCGCUCCGCAUGGAGAGUCCAUUAAAGAGAGCAAUUUUGGUUACAGACGAGCAUGCGCUCCAUUAGCCAGUUGGCGGGGUAACGGCCCACCAAAGCGACGAUGGAUAGGGGUUCUGAGAGGAAGGUCCCCCACAUUGGAACUGAGACACGGUCCAA
rnacentral:rRNA from 1 species